AUACUUACCUGGCAGGGGAGAUACCAUGAUCAAGGAGGUGGUUUUCCCAGGGUGAGGCUCAUCCAUUAUGCUCGGGUGUGGUGAGCCCUACGAUUUCCCCAGAAUGUGGGAAACUCGACUGCAUCAUUUGUCUAAAUUAAUGCUGAGUGUAACAGAGAUAUCAG